rnacentral:ncRNA from 1 species
GAAGAUAGAGGUUGAGAACCUGUCACCAACGCGGCAUCUCUUAUGAGAUGUGUCAGAAAUGUAGGAGACCCGACAGUCCUACCUAUCGUU